ACCAGACUCCUACGGGAGGCAGCAGUGGGGAAUAUUGCACAAUGGGGGAAACCCUGAUGCAGCGACGCCGCGUGAGUGAAGAAGUAUCUCGGUACGUAAAGCUCUAUCAGCAGGGAAGAAAAUGACGGUACCUGACCAAGAAGCCCCGGCUAACUACGUGCCAGCAGCCGCGGUAAUACGUAGGGGGCAAGCGUUAUCCGGAUUUACUGGGUGUAAAGGGAGCGUAGACGGCUGCGCAAGUCAGAAGUGAAAGCCCGGGGCUCAACCGCGGGACUGCUUUUGAAACUGUGUAGCUAGAGUGCAGGAGAGGUAAGUGGAAUUCCUAGUGUAGCGGUGAAAUGCGUAGAUAUUAGGAGGAACACCGGUGGCGAAGGCGGCUUACUGGACUGUAACUGACGUUGAGGCUCGAAAGCGUGGGGAGCAAACAGGAUUAGAUACCCUAGUAA
rnacentral:rRNA from 1 species